rnacentral:tRNA from 1 species
GUCAUAGUCGCCUAAUGGAUUGGCAUCAGCCUUCUAAGCUGUUUUAUAUAGGUUCGAAUCCUUUCUAUGACA